rnacentral:lncRNA from 1 species
AAAGAAGCACUGCUCAUCAUCAUGGUGACUGUGAUGGAGGCCUGGGUGAGCAGUGGUGUAGACAGUUGCACAGAGGAGCCCAAAUGUUGCUCGAGACCCAAGAAAGCCCUGUGGGGUGAGGACAGCACCAGGCUCACCUGCCCACCUGGUCUCCAUCCAGGAGUCCAGAGACCCAGGACCAAACUGAUCCUGUCUUUAUGUUCAAUGUGGAGAUCUUGUUCAGCAAACCAUUCCAAGCAGAAUCUGCAAGACACAAUCAAACUGAAAGCAAGACUGGACUUCUGGCUUUGGAUCCCUGGUUUCAGACCCUGUCUGACAUUGCAUCGGGCGGACAUCCAAGCUUCAGUUUCCUUCUGUGUUAAAUGAGGAUAAGAAGAAAUCCACCUCCUGGGCUCACUGUGAGGGUUCAACGGGGUAAUCGUGUCAGUAGCUGAGAAGCAUGAAUAUUUGAUCUAUGUCAGCCAUUAUUACUGUUUUCCAAAUCUUGGUUCCUCCACUAGUGACUUUACCUCUUGGAAUUUUAAUCUCCUUUUCUGUAAAAUGGAGAAAUAAUAGGACUAUCUCUUAAGGUUGCUGUAAAGAUUAAAUGAGUUACUGUACAUGAAGUACCUAAAACAAUGUGUACAUGUGCUGUUAACUGUUACUAUUACAACAAUCACUACAACUACUACUGUUGUUCAUACUAUUAAUAGCUUAUUCUCCCUCCUCCUCCUCCUGCUGUAACUACUACUGCCACUGUGGCUGCUAUUGUUGCCCUGGUAGUUAGGUAGUUAAUACAAUUGCAAUGAGAGCU